GUAGGUGGCAAGCGUUGUCCGGAAUUAUUGGGCGUAAAGCGCGCGCAGGCGGUCCUUUAAGUCUGAUGUGAAAGCCCACGGCUCAACCGUGGAGGGUCAUUGGAAACUGGGGGACUUGAGUACAGAAGAGGAAAGCGGAAUUCCAAGUGUAGCGGUGAAAUGCGUAGAGAUUUGGAGGAACACCAGUGGCGAAGGCGGCUUUCUGGUCUGUAACUGACGCUGAGGCGCGAAAGCGUGGGGAGCAAACAGGGAUUAGAUACCCUGGUAGUCCACGCCGUAAACGAUGAGUGCUAAGUGUUAGGGGGUUUCCCGCCCCUUAGUGCUGCAGCUGACGCAUUAAGCACUCCGCCCUGGGGAGUACGGCCGCAAGGCUG
rnacentral:rRNA from 1 species